UCAUCCGAUUGCACAACACACACGGCUCUUAUCAGGACUCAAUAAAUUUCUGUCUCGACACGAAAUGCACACCUGUGUUUUCGGCGAGAACGGAGGAUCAGGUAGCUGUCAGCCAGCUGCGAGUUGCUUAACCCCGCCGCCAGCCAGCCCCACUUUUAUUAUUUUCAGCGCCGUGGCUUGGCUUUUUUAAUCUCUCCUCUGGAACCCUGUGAAACCCCGACGCGGCCAGACAGUUGGGUAUACAAAAUAUGUCAACAGAGGCGACAGCCGGCAAAAAGAAGGCGAACUCCGGCGGCCACUGUUUGCUUAGACCUUUAGACACUGGCCAGACAAUGGCCGGUCAAGUCAGCGGCGUAUCUGUCUGCCUGUCACGGGGAUAGCACUCCGGUCCGCUGCGAUUCGCCGGAAUAUUCCGAUGGAUAAACGGAUAAACCGCACUGACAUCCCGUCAGGACGUUGAAUGGAUUUGAAUGAAUCGAACAGCAAUUAUGUACCGACUUAUUGCUACGAAAAUAAUUGAAGACGAGGAGGAGAUUAUGUGAUUCGAUUGCACUUAGGGAAACCAAAGAAUUCGAGACCCUUGAAGUUCGAAACAUAUCUUUAAGCUUUGGCAUUAUUGAUUACUUCUCGUCUAGUCUUAGUCCCACAAAAUAAGAAACAUGUACACCAAGUUUAAUCAAGGCCCGAAGACUCCUUUUCGUCGAGUGUGCGAGAACAUUCAUCGAACCCCAUUGACUCUUUCGGGGUCUUUGUGAUGAAGUAUGUGGAUAGAAAACCGCACAGACCGCAAGGGAUUACUACAUCAGAAGAAACCGCAAAAGGGGUUAAUGCACUCUUUGCACAUGGGACACAACGAGCCAAUUGGGUUUAGUGAGCAUUCAAAGGUUGCCAGGGUCCUGUCACAUGUUCGCCAUUUAAUAUUUAUUAAUGGUCGGAGUGAAAACAAAAAUGUGGAAAACCAAACCAAAAUUGAAUGCAUCAGCGAGCCAGUUAAUAUUAAAUUGCCGCAUCGAUAGGCACAACA